CAACAUGUAUUCAUAGUCUCAACAGUAAUGAAUCAACUGAAUAAUAGAAGCAUAGCAACUAUGAUAAGUAUGAACAUAAGCAUAAAUGUGUAAGUAACUACUAUACACUGUAACUGGUAAUCAUUCAUUACGGUCCAAUUUUCUUUAGCACUUUCCUUUCAUUCACAAGGAUCUACUCAAGGUAGUCCAGCUUGCGCCGCGCCUAAUGGCCCCGUGGUAGUGUACACUCCCCACGGCAAUCCACUUCGGCACCCAAUCCCGCACGGGCGAGCAACUGUCGCGUAGGCCAACUCCGGAGUGCCGGCUUGUAGGGAGCGACCCUCACAAGCGUGUGCGAAUGAGCACGAUGGCAAGCAAGCAUAUUCCACUGUCCACAUGUCUCAAUUAUCAUGUUUUCAUUUGCAAUGUUCUUACCCUCGAUCCUCUGAUCGGAAUUUCAAUACAUAAACAGUAACAAGAACUAGUAUCCACUAGAAUGUAAACAUAUAAGAGUAAUGCUAAAUCACAUGGCAUUAUAAUCUUUCCAC
rnacentral:lncRNA from 1 species